AACAUGUAGCUCUUACCUGGAGAAGACAAGGACUUAGUUUGGUGUUGUUUCAGUUACCCGGUCUGCUUUAAUAGAAGCAUUCUUGACCAUGGGGAGUUUUACGUUACGUUGGCUAUGAUUUAUGGACUUGCUAGCAUAGAUCUAAGAGGGCUGUGCAAUAACCAUAGUGAUAUUACUAAGAAGCACUAAACUAUUUUAACUAGAUUAAUUAUCAUAAUUUGUAUGCAUUUUACAGAGACUAAAACUUUCUUAGGAUCAAUAUAAUUCUAUUCUGAGGUUUUCAAGCGAAGAGAUGAGUUUCCUACACAGUUAUACUUAGAGGCCAUGACAAUAUGUGACAAAACCCCGGCUUAUUUCAUAGGCUAAGAUAAUCCCUUGUCUAACUGUGUUUAUGUCUUUCUUAUUUCAAUAAUUCCGACAUUAAAAUAUGCAAUAGUAGCUGGUUGAGUAUUAUGUAUCAUAAUUUAAAAAUAUAUUGACCAGAAAUCCCUAUUCAGUAAAAUGAUAAAGGUAGGAGAUCUUCCAAAGUUGUAUUUUGUUUGUUUGUCCUGGUCUGCAUCCUCCUUUGCAUGUGCACUAUAUAAAUAAGACGUUAGGCACAGGGUGUCCAUCCUGCCCCAGGAAACCAAGUCACUUUAUAGAGACCUUACAUAGCUGCCUUUUUUUCUUUCUGAGUUUUAUUGUAGUGAAUUAGAUUUGUGUGUACUUUUAUGUUUAUGUUUUAAAUGAUUUGUUAUUUUCUGUAUUCUAAGUUUUCAAAUUAAAAUAUGGAAAAUUAUUGUUAGUUACCAACAUUGAUUUUGCUGCUAAACAUUACCCUUGAAUUUUUUAACACAGAAAAAUAAAUGCCUCCAAAAUUUUGUCAAUUUUGU
rnacentral:lncRNA from 1 species